rnacentral:rRNA from 1 species
CCUACGGGUGACAGCAGUGAGGAAUAUUGGUCAAUGGACGAGAGCCUGAACCAGCCAAGUAGCGUGCAGGAUGACUGCCCUAUGGGUUGUAAACUUCUUUUGUACGGGGAUAAAGUGCGGUACGUGUGCCUUUUUGUAUGUACUUUAUGAAUAAGGAUCGGCUAACUCCGUGCCAGCAGCCGCGGUAAUACGGAGGAUCCGAGCGUUAUCCGGAUUUAUUGGGUUUAAAGGGUGCGUAGAUGGGUUGUUAAGUCAGUGGUGAAAGUUUGCGGCUCAACCCUAAAAUUGCAACUGAUACUGGUAGCCUUGAGUACAGUUGAGGUAGGCGGAAUGCGUGGUGUAGCGGUGAAAUGCUUAGAGAUCACGAAGAACUCCGAUUGCGAAGGCAGCUUACCAAACUACCUCUGACAUUGAGGCUCGAAAGUGUGGGUAUCAAACAGGAUUAGAUACCCGUGUAGUC